rnacentral:rRNA from 1 species
UACGGAGGGAGCUAGCGUUGUUCGGAAAUACUGGGCGUAAAGCGGCAUCGUAGGUCAGGGGUGAAAUCCCGGGGCUCAACCCCGGAACUGCCCUUGAAACUGCAGUGCUAGAAUCUUGGAGAGGCGAGUGGAAUUCCGAGUGUAGAGGUGAAAUUCGUAGAUAUUCGGAAGAACACCAGUGGCGAAGGCGACUCGCUGGACAAGUAUUGACGCUGAGGUGCGAAAGCGUGGGGAGCAAACAGG